AUACGUAGGUGGCGAGCGUUGUCCGGAAUUAUUGGGCGUAAAGAGCAUGUAGGCGGUUUUUUAAGUCCGGAGUGAAAAUGCGGGGCUCAACCCCGUAUGGCUCUGGAUACUGGAAGACUCGAGUGCAGGAGAGGAAAGGGGAAUUCCCAGUGUAGCGGUGAAAUGCGUAGAUAUUGGGAGGAACACCAGUGGCGAAGGCGCCUUUCUGGACUGUAACUGACACUGAGGCACGAAAGCGUGGGUAGC
rnacentral:rRNA from 1 species